rnacentral:rRNA from 1 species
AGAGUUUGAUCCUGGCUCAGAACGAACGCUGGCGGCGUGGAUAAGACAUGCAAGUCGAACGGGACAACAUCUGUAGCAAUACAGGUGUUGUUUAGUGGCGAACGGGUGCGUAACACGUGGGCAAUCUGCCGAGAAGUGGGGGAUAGCUCGCCGAAAGGCGAAUUAAUACCGCAUAUGAUCAGGGAGGACAUCCUCUCGACAUCAAAGCCGGGGCAACCUGGCGCUACUCGAUGAGCCCGCGGCCUAUCAGCUAGUUGGUGAGGUAACGGCUCACCAAGGCGAUGACGGGUAGCUGGUCUGAGAGGACGACCAGCCACACUGGAACUGAGACACGGUCCAGACACCUACGGGUGGCAGCAGUCGAGAAUUUUUCUCAAUGGGGGCAACCCUGAAGGAGCGACGCCGCGUGGAGGAUGAAUGCUUUCGGGUUGUAAACUCCUGUCAUUUGGGAACAAGGUAGCGCGGUUAACUGCCGCGUUAUUGAUAGUACCAGAAGAGGAAGAGACGGCUAACUCUGUGCCAGCAGCCGCGGUAAUACAGAUGUCUCACGCGUUGUUCAGAUUCAUUGGGCGUAAAGGGUGCAUAGUGGCCCCGUACGUCAGUGUGAUAUUUCAGAUCUCAACUCCGAAACUGCAUUUGAUACUGCGGGUGCUUGAGGACUGGAGA